rnacentral:rRNA from 1 species
UACGUAGGGGGCAAGCGUUGUCCGGAAUCAUUGGGCGUAAAGAGCGUGUAGGCGGCUUGGUAAGUCCGCUGUGAAAGUCCAGGGCUCAACCCUGGGAAGCCGGUGGAAACUGUCAAGCUUGAGUCCGGAAGAGGCGAGUGGAAUUCCUGGUGUAGCGGUGAAAUGCGCAGAUAUCAGGAGGAACACCAAUGGCGAAGGCAGCUCGCUGGGACGGUACUGACGCUGAGACGCGAAAGCGUGGGGAGCAAACAGG